rnacentral:rRNA from 1 species
GACGUAGGGCGCGAGCGUUGUCCGGAUUUAUUGGGCGUAAAGAGCUCGUAGGCGGCUUGUCGCGUCGACCGUGAAAACCCGUGGCUCAACCCCGGGCCUGCAUUCGAUACGGGCAGACUAGAGUUCGGUAGGGGAGUCUGGAAUUCCUGGUGUAGCGGUGAAAUGCGCAGAUAUCAGGAGGAACACCGGUGGCGAAGGCGGGACUCUGGGCCGAUACUGACGCUGAGGAGCGAAAGCGUGGGGAGCAAACAGG